rnacentral:rRNA from 1 species
AGUGAACGCUGGCGGUAGGCCUAACACAUGCAAGUCGAACGGCAGCACAGUAAGAGCUUGCUCUUACGGGUGGCGAGUGGCGGACGGGUGCGGAAUACAUCGGAAUCUACUUUUUCGUGGGGGAUAACGUAGGGAAACUUACGCUAAUACCGCAUACGACCUACGGGUGAAAGCAGGGGAUCUUCGGACCUUGCGCGAUUGAAUGAGCCGAUGUCGGAUUAGCUAGUUGGCGGGGUAAAGGCCCACCAAGGCGACGAUCCGUAGCUGGCCUGAGAGGAUGAUCAGCCACACUGGAACUGAGACACGGUCCAGACUCCUACGGGAGGCAGCAGUGGGGAAUAUUGGACAAGGGGCGCAGGCCUGAUCCAGCCAUACCGCGUGGGUGAAGAAGGCCUUCGGGUUGUAAAGCCCUUUUGUUGGGAAAGAAAAGCAGCAGGUUAAUACCCCGCUGUUCUGACGGUACCCAAAGAAUAAGCACCGGCUAACUUCGUG